GACGAACGCUGGCGGCGUGCUUAACACAUGCAAGUCGAGCGAUGAAAUCCCUUCGGGGAUGGAUUAGCGGCGGACGGGUGAGUAACACGUGGGUAACCUGCCUCAAAGUGGGGGAUAGCCUUCCGAAAGGAAGAUUAAUACCGCAUAAUAUCUAAUUGCCGCAUGGCAGAUGGAUUAAAGGAGCAAUUCGCUUUGAGAUGGACCCGCGGCGCAUUAGCUAGUUGGUGAGGUAACGGCUCACCAAGGCGACGAUGCGUAGCCGACCUGAGAGGGUGAUCGGCCACAUUGGGACUGAGACACGGCCCAGACUCCUACGGGAGGCAGCAGUGGGGAAUAUUGCGCAAUGGAGGAAACUCUGACGCAGCAACGCCGCGUGAGUGAUGAAGGUCUUCGGAUUGUAAAGCUCUGUCUUCAGGGACGAUAAUGACGGUACCUGAGGAGGAAGCCACGGCUAACUACGUGCCAGCCGCCGCAGUAA
rnacentral:rRNA from 1 species